GGUAAUACUAGUGUAACGGUAGCUCAUAUGAUUGCCAUUCAUAAGGUAGGAGUUCGAUUCUCCUGUAUUACUU
rnacentral:tRNA from 1 species